rnacentral:rRNA from 1 species
AUAACGACUCUCGACAAUGGAUAUCUCGGCUCUCACAUCGAUGAAGAACUUAGCGAACUGCGAUACUUGGUGUGAAUUGCGGAAUCCCGUGAACCAUUGAGUCUUUGAACGCAAGUUGCACUUGAAGCUUCAGUCGAUGGCAUGUUUGCCUGGGUGUCACA